rnacentral:rRNA from 1 species
CCUACGGGAUGCUGCAGUGAGGAAUAUUGGUCAAUGGCCGGAAGGCUGAACCAGCCAUGCCGCGUGAAGGUCAGUGCCCUAUGGGCGUUAAACUUCUUUUGUGCGGGAGCAAUAAUGGUCACGUGUGGCCAGACGAGAGUACCGUACGAAUAAGCAUCGACUAACUCCGUGCCAGCAGCCGCGGUAAUACGGGGGAUGCAAGCGUUAUCCGGAUGUAUUGGGUUUAAAGGGUGCGUAGGCUGUGAGGUAAGUCAGCGUGGAAAUGCCCCCGGUGAACGGGGUGAAGUGCCAUUGAUACUGCCUUCCGUGAAUGCCGAGGCGGUGGGAGGAAUGUGGUGGGUAGCGGUGAAAUGCAUAGAUAUCACACAGAACACCGAUUGAGAAGGCAUCUCACGAAUCCGCGAUUGACGCUGAUGCACGAAAGCGUGGGUAUCAAACAGGAUUAGAUACCCUUGUAGUC